rnacentral:rRNA from 1 species
UACGAAGGGGGCUAGCGUUGAUCGGAAUCACUGGGCGUAAAGCGCACGCAGGCGGCUUGUUAAGUCAGGGGUGAAAUCCUGGAGCUCAACUCCAGAACUGCCUUUGAUACUGGCGAGCUUGAGUACGGGAGAGGUGAGUGGAACUGCGAGUGUAGCAGUGAAAUGCGUAGAUAUGCGGAGGAACACCGAUGGCGAAGGCAAUCCCCUGGGCCUGCACUGACGCUCAUGCACGAAAUCGUGGGGAGCAAACAGG